AUUGAACGCUGGCGGCAGGCCUAACACAUGCAAGUCGAGCGGCAGCACGGGGGCAACCCUGGUGGCGAGCGGCGAACGGGUGAGUAAUACAUCGGAACAUGCCCAGUCGUGGGGGAUAACACUUCGAAAGAAGCGCUAAUACCGCAUACGUCCUGAGGGAGAAAGCGGGGGAUCUUCGGACCUCGCGCGAUUGGAGUGGCCGAUGUCAGAUUAGCUAGUUGGAGGGGUAAAGGCCUACCAAGGCAACGAUCUGUAGCUGGUCUGAGAGGAUGAUCAGCCACACUGGGACUGAGACACGGCCCAGACUCCUACGGGAGGCAGCAGUGGGGAACUUUGGACAAUGGGGGCAACCCUGAUCCAGCCAUUCCGCGUGAGUGAAGAAGGCCUUCGGGUUGUAAAGCUCUUUCGGCAGGAACGAAACGGCGAGCUCUAACAUAGCUUGCUAAUGACGGUACCUGAAGAAGAAGCACCGGCUAACUACGUGCCAGCCGCCGCCGUAACAC
rnacentral:rRNA from 1 species